CGCCUCUAUCCUCCUCGCUGCUACAGUGAAUGCGGGCAUCCAGACGCCUGACUGAGUGCGGCGGUUCUUUUCUGAUAGCUCGGAUGCCAGUGCAUAGAGAGCGUUCUGCUGAAGCCGAAAGGGAGAAGGCAAAUGUAUAUUCACACGGACGCUCAGGUGUAAGUGAUGCUACUGCAAGUUGAAGUCCUGGAAGUAAAACCGCAGCAGAUUGGGAAUAAACGGAUAGAUCUGCGUUUUCCGUUGCAGAGCGCACUCAGUUCGUUUGGAAUACAGAGACGCAGCGUGGAAUUACUGGAGCCCUCAGUUUGUGAACUAAAGUCAAUUCGUUUUUUAUCGCAUUUUAUUUUUUAGCCCAUUUUUCUUAUUUCCCUUCUUUAUUUUCUCUUCUUUGGUUGCUGUUAUGUUUGAUUAGAUUUAUUAGUCCCCCUUUUAUUCUAAUGUUAUUUACUAUCUGCCCUUUCAGUUUUUUUAUUCUCUCAUCCUCUGAAAAUAGCUUGGGUUCGUUUUCGCGAGGGUAGAUUGUGGUGAAAGAUACUCAAUCUCAAACUGAGUCGUGUCAUGGAUGGCAAAUUGCAUUUGCAUCUACGGAACAAAUCGGGAAAUAUAGAAUAACUACUGCUGACAGAGACAAGGACAAAUGACAUAGGAUGAACACUGCUGGUCAUCUCUGUCUGUCUGUGCUGUCAUCCCUUUUUGCACUGGCCUGGGCUGUGGAGCCGCUGGGUCAGGCUGCCCCCUGCUCCUCUCUGGUGGCUGGGGUUUUAUACGGCUCCUUCUCGCUCAGGGACCUCUUUCCCAGCCCGUCGGCUCUGGCAUCCGGAUGCUCCUGGACUGUGGAGAACCCUGACCCCACCAAGUACUCGCUCUAUUUCCGCUUCAAUCGCCAUGCCGGCGCCUGUUUAGCUUUUUCCCCGCUGGUGCUGCCCCUGGACCACUACCUCUCAAACCAGACCUGUGGACCCCCAGACCAGCCCACCUUCCCCUCGGACCCCGAAGCCGUUGAGCUCUGCAUGGUCCCAGGCCCUCACACCUUCCUGCAGUUUGAUAAGAACUUUGUGCAGUUGUGCUUGACCGCUCACCCCAGCGGAGACGGCAACAGUGAAGAUGGGAUGUCCGAGGGCCAGGCCCCCUUGUCGGCUGAAACUUUGGACUUCCGGCUCGUAGAGGUUCUGCUCAUUAAUAAUGAAAAUUCGAGUCAGUUUACAUGUGGAGUCCUGUGCCGCUGGUUCGAGGAAUGCUUGCAUGUCGGCUCCGGCUGGGAAACCGAGAGCUGCAGUAUCACCCAGACGGGUUGUGUUUGUCCCAACACGGCCCCUCCGGUGUCCCUGCUACCCACUGCACCCCACAACCAUUCCUUAGACCCCAGCGCGAGUGUCUUGCAAUCCCCACCCGACGACUGUUGUGUAACACAGCUGCAUUCAAAGAAUGGCAUCGCUAUAGCACCGAGAGAUGUCCGGCAAGAGCCUGACGAUGAUGAGCAGAAGGUGAAGACGCAGAGGCCGCGAUCAGCUGACCAGCCGGGUGUGUUUCAGGCCCAGACAGGUGACCCGGCAGCAGAGGAGUGGUCUCAGUGGAGUGUGUGUUCGCUGACAUGUGGGCAAGGUUGGCAGGUUCGUUCUCGUUCAUGUGUAUCCUCUCCAUACGGGACCCUCUGCAGCGGCCCGCUGAGGGAAACCCGACUCUGCAACAACACUGCCACCUGCCCAGGUGAGCCGCAGCAUCAAGCAGUACAUGGGCUGUGGGAGGAGUGGUCUUCCUGGAGUCUGUGCUCAGUCACGUGUGGCCGUGGCUCUCGGACCCGGAGCAGGAUCUGUGUGCUCCCCCAGCAUGGAAGCAAGGGCUGUGGAGGGCCCGAGGUGCAAACCAAACUCUGCAAUAUAGCUGUGUGCCCCGUGGAGGGGCAGUGGUUGGACUGGGCCGCCUGGUCUCAGUGCUCUGUUUCCUGUGGCUCCGGCACUCAGCAGAGGCAGCGGCGUUGCAGCGUGUCGGUUCAUGGCUGGGCAGAGUGUAAGGGGCCGCAUGCGGAAACUCGUGAGUGCACCAACCCGUCUUGUGGGGGUGGAGGGAACUGGGGUGCUUGGAAUCACUGGAGCUUGUGCUCCAAGACUUGUGACUCCGGUUGGCAGCGUCGGUUCCGUAUGUGCGAAGGCACAGGAAUCCAGGGUUACCCUUGCGAUGGCUCUGGAGAGGAAGUGCGCUCCUGCAAUGACAAGAAGUGCCCAGCACCUCAUGAAAUAUGUAAAGAUGAGUACCAAGUAGCCAUGACGUGGAAGAGAGCCUCAGCUGGAGAGACGGUAUACAACAAGUGUCCAUCAAAUGCCACUGGAUCUGCUAGUCGUCGUUGUUUGCUGGACGCUAAUGGAGUUGCUUACUGGGGUCCUCCGAGCUUCGCCCGAUGUGUCUCACUCGAAUAUAGAUAUUUACAUUUAUCUUUGCGAGAACAUCUUGCGAAGGGUCAGAGGACCCUGGCAGGGGAGGGCAUGUCUCAGAUCGUGAGGAGUCUCCUGGAGUUAAUGUCCCGUAAGAAUUAUUAUAGCGGCGACCUCUUAUUCUCCGUGGAGAUUCUCCGAAAUGUGACGGACACCUUCAAGCGAGCAACCUACAUCCCAGCUCCUGACGACGUGCAGAAAUUCUUCCAGAUUGUCAGCUUAAUGUUGGACAUUGAAAACCUUGAGAAGUGGGAAGACGCUCACCAGGUCUCUCCGGGUUCUGUGUUACUGAUGCGAGUUGUGGAAGACUUCAUUCAUCUAAUUGGAGAGGCUCAGAAGCCGUUCCAGAGCUUUCUGGUUGUCACCAACAACCUCAUAAUCACCAUCCAGCGAGAGCCAGUUUCGGCUGUUUCCAGUGACAUCAACUUCCCAAUGAAGGGGAGGAGAGGGAUGAAAGACUGGGCACGCUCUGCAGACGACAAACUCUUCAUCCCCAAAGAAGUCUUUACCUUGUCCUCCGAUGAAUCAGACGACACACCAUAUUUUGUCAUCGGAGCCAUCCUGUACCGCACCCUCGGCUUCAUAAUGCCCCCACCAAAAGAUCCAUUCGUGAUCAGCUCAAAGAUUCUGACAGUGACGGUGCGUCCUUUACCAAAACCAACCGAGCCCUUGGUAUCAGUGGAACUUGCACCUUUGCUCAAUGGCACAACAGAUCCUCAAUGUGUUGUCUGGGACUACGGAGACCCAGAGGCUGGCGAAGAAAACUGGGACGCAGAGAGCUGCCAAACGCUCCCAACGCCGGCAGUCUCCCACACCAAAUGUCUGUGCAGCAAGCUGUCCACCUUUGCAGUGUUAGCGCAGAAAGCUAAAGAACCGGGUAUGGGGCCCUCGAGUAUGCCGUCUGUGCCCCUCAUGGUGGGCUGUGGCAUAUCCUGUACGGCUCUACUCAUUCUGCUGCUCAUCUACGCUGCCUUCUGGAGGUACAUUCGUUCAGAGAGGUCCAUCAUUUUGGUGAACUUCUGUCUGUCCAUACUGGCCUCCAAUGUGCUUAUACUGGUGGGACAGUCCCAAACUCUUAGUAAGGGACUGUGCACUGUGACCGCUGCCUUUUUGCACUUCUUCUUUCUGGCUUCUUUCUGCUGGGUAUUGACGGAGGCGUGGCAAUCCUACCUGGCUGUGAUUGGCAAGAUGAGGUCGCGCCUCAUUCGCAAGCGUUUCCUGUGCCUGGGCUGGGGUCUUCCAGCCCUUGUAGUCGCUGUAUCUGUGGGUUUCACCCGGGCUAGAGGUUACGGCACGGCAAGUUAUUGUUGGUUGUCUCUGGAAGGGGGGCUGCUCUAUGCUUUCGUUGGUCCUGCUGCUGUCAUUGUACUGGUUAACAUGUUGAUUGGAAUAGUGGUUUUCAACAAGCUCAUGUCUCGAGAUGGCAUCUCAGACAAGUCCAAAAAGCAGAGAGCAGGUCCACCGUUGGAAGCGCGUAGCAGGCUGCUCCUGAAAUGCUCCAAGUGUGGCGUGAUCUCCAGUACCGCCCUGUCCAGCUCAACCGCCAGCAGCGCCAUGGCAUCGUUAUGGAGCUCUUGUGUGGUUCUCCCUCUGUUGGCACUCACAUGGAUGUCAGCUGUGCUGGCCAUCACAGACCGCCGAUCAACCCUCUUCCAGGUGCUCUUUGCCGUCUUUGACUCAGUCCAGGGAUUCGUCAUCAUCACCGUGCACUGUGCCAUGCGCCGAGAGGUGCAGGAUGCAGUGCGCUGCAGGAUGGGUGGCUGCAAAGACGACAGUGAAAACUCACCGGACUCCUGCAAGAACGGCCAGGUGCAGAUCAUGACGGACUUUGAGAAAGAUGUGGACUUGGCGUGUCAAACAGAGAGAGGACACCCAUUCAUCUUUAAGGAGGUAAACACCUGUAACCCUGCUACCAUAACUGGCACUCUAUCCCGCAUCUCCCUGGACGACGAGGACGACCCCAAGUUGGCAGCUCAUCAGGAAGGCGUUAAUUUCAGCAGCCUGCCUGGGAACAUCCCACCCCCUAACCUCCUGGUGCAGGUACCUGCUUUGGGUCCUUUGAAUGAGCUAAGCGAUCAGCCACUGAAGAAGGAGGUUAAUGUGGAGCAACAAGGCCAGCAUCAGCGAUCCGGACCCAUCUACCUGUGCACCGAGAGUGGGCUGGGUUGGGCCCGACCAAACCCUUCUUCCACCCAGGAUUCAGCUGGUGGAGGUGGGGAAGGGGACUACAUGGUGUUGCCACGUCGGACAGUCAGUCUCAAGCCCCCUCCUCAACCCCAGGAUGAGGGGAAGCCCCUAAACAUUACUGUAGAUGACCCUCCCUUUCCUCCGCCCCCUUCACCUCUGACUCUGCAUCCAGCUGAGAGCGAGGCAUACCCCGCAGACUUUGCAGCUGUGGACCACAUCAGCAUGAACCUAAACCGCUCCUACGGCACGCUCAAACAGUUGCCGGCCCACACCGGGCACACGCACACCAACACCCACACCCUGCAGGUCAAGCAGAAUCGUCCCUCUGUCCGGCAGAUCCUCACCUCGGGAACGGUGGAGCGCACCAGAACCCUUCCCCGCAACCUGGGCAGCACCAACACCAGCCUCUCGGCUGGAUCUUUGGAAAGGAAAAGAGUACGGUACUCUGAGCUGGACUUUGAGAAAGUGAUGCACACUCGCAAAAGACACUCAGAGCUGUACCAUGAACUCAACCACUCCACCAAGUUCCACACCAUAGACAGGUAUAACAGGGAUCCUGCCAUGUCCUCCUUCAAGGUUCCUCCUCCACCUCCACCACGACAAUCCGAGCCUUUAACACGGAGAAUGAGCUUCGUUUACAAAGAGAGCCAACGUAAGCAUGUCAACCAGACCCUGUAUUCCCAGCCCCGUGUGACAGGGCCUUGAUUUAUAGAGGCUCUCAUUGGUGCAGUGUAAAUCCUGUAGAGUCUAAGAGGUGUAGAGGACUAAAUGUUGGGUGUUUUUUCACAUUAGGUCAUGUUUUUUCUGUGCUAACUCGGCGUGGAAUAUUCCCUGCGAUGUUGUGAUGUACUGCUGUAAAUCACACAGCCUUGCUCUGUCAUUGUGCUUGUGCUAUUUUAAACCCUUUCUUUAAAACAAAACCUUAAAUAUAAAUUCACAUAAACCAGUUAAAUUUAUCAAAAUAAACUAUGUAAAAGAUCAUAAAUGCAUAAAAUCUAAUUUUGCUCAAUGUAGCUACAAAUCUGCAUUAAACUGAUCGGUAUACGGUAAGUACGCACAUACUCUUCCGGCAACAAGGUGAUUCAGAUGAAGUGUGUUUGGUCAGAAACAUGUCAUGUGUGUGUGUGGGCCGGUAAAGAGAUGAGUGCACAUUCGGGAAAAAUCUAAUCCAUUUUUCCCCUGCUGUCUUAUUCUAGACUUGACUUUUAUCCCAUUAGAUCAUUCUAACAGCUGGUGAGGACAGUGAGCUUAGUGGGUCUCUAACACAUCAAAAAAAAAAAAAAAAAAAAAAAAGGCUCCUUCCAGACACUGUCCAUUCCUUCUAAUCAUCUUUCUCUCUAUUUUCCUCCUACAUACUCUGACUUCAAUCUCUCGUUCGUACCACGGGUUCACUUCAUCUCGUUCUUUUUUUUCUAUGGGGACAGUGGAGGCGCCUUAGUCACUUGCAGUCUGUUAAAUUGCUCAUGUUAGUGCGAACGGAGCUUGAUGCAGUUUGAAAGGCAGUUAACCUCUAAGUGAAGAUGCUGCCUGGGCUGAUAGCUGUAGCGGAGGCACCCCAUAUGGUCCCAAAUGGAUGAAGGACCGGUACCCUGUGUUCAAUCUAUUCAUGCUAAUGGGGAUCCUACAAAUGAACACAGCGGGGAACUUGAGAGCAGAGGAAGGCAACAUUCUGGCUCUUGAAAUAUGUAUUAACUGAAAACUUCUGCUCUUACUCCCACUGACUGUUGAAUGAAAGGGUAAACAUCAUAAAUAUAUGUGCGGGGUUAGUAAUAAUAAAAGAUUUGAACAAACCCCUAACACUAAGUAUUAAACUUAUACACGUAACUGCUAUGGACUUGACUGAUGCUUCAAAUUAUGCAUUUCUAGGCAUUUUUCUAAUAAUGCACUGGAUGAAAAAAUCUUCCUUGCAAGGAUGAGGAUUGAUGUUUAAAAUGUAUGUUUUUUGGAAGUAAAAAGUAUGAAUUGCCAUAUAAUGUAUAGUUUAUUUGGAUAUAAUACUCAAAAAUGCAUGCAAAUUUUACAGUAAAUUAUUUUUAAAAAAAAUGUUUUUGGAAGUAAAAAUAUAUGAGUCACCAUGUUUAAUAUGUAAAUAUUUUAUUGAAAAAGUUUAGUCAUUUAUUUAGUAAUUAGUUCUGUACAUUUGGUUGUUACAUUUUAUGUUAUUUCGACAGUGUUUGUUUUUUUGUUGUUUUGUUUUUACAAUUAAGUGCAACUAGGGAUGCAAAGGGGUGGAAAAUUUCUGCUAAAUUUCCAGAAACGUUCCAAAAAUUUACAGAAAGUUUCCAAAAAUUCUGGAAAUCUGCCCCUUUGCAUCCCUAAGUGCAACCAUAGUAUUUUGUUGUAAAUUUUAAAGGAUUUUUAUUUUUUUUAUUUUUUUUUACAGAGUAGUAUGGAGCCCCGUACAAAUAUGUAUAUCAUGGCAAUUCAUUCCCAAGACUUACUAAUAUGUCAGCAUGUUUUUCUAAUUUUUUCCUCAUUUUACUAAAUCAUGGCUACAUUGUAAUAAUUUGUUCAAUGAAUUAGUUGAACCACAAUUUACUAUAAUGAGGGAACUAAUUAAUAAAUUGUGGCCAGGAUUUACUAAAACCAGAGAACGAAUUCUUAAUUUGUGGGAACAAAUUCUUAAUUCAUGGCCAUGACAUAAAUUUUUUGUGUGCAUGUCAUAGGGCUUUGUAGAGUAGAGACUUGAAUAUCCUUAGUUUUUUGAGGCGAGGGCUUUACACCCUAGUAACCAUCUUGCAACAACCCAGAAACACUCUAGCAACAAUAUUUUUUGUUGUUGUUGCAAACUGUUCAUGGUAAAAUACAUUAUGGCUAACUCAUUUGUAAUCUUGACAACAUUGCUGGCUUUUUUUAUAAAAAUGUGAUUGCAGCAAAAAUAUAUAUCCUACUUAAGUUGAGUCGCCUACUUAAAUUACUGUCUAGGUGUAAAAGGCCUUCAUCUGCAAUUAGAAAGUUUAAUCCAAAGCAUGAUUACAUUUUAUGACCUCUAUCAACUAGUAGGCCUACUAAUCAAACUGAUUGCUAGUACAAAUGGCUCAUUAAAACUUUCAAAACCCUAUAGCACUGAUAAUAUAUGGUAACUGUGUUCUCAUGAAUCUUAUACUGUAAUUGUCUUGCUUUAAAGGUUAUGCUCUUAACGUUUAUCAGUAUUCGCACAGUGUGUGGGAUAUUAUAAGUGUGUAUUAGUGUGCAUCUGAGUGUUUACCUAAUCUUAGCGUGUUUGGUUGUGCCUCGUUGAAACUGUUUCCCUGCAGUUGAGUUGAAUUAUUGGUAUCAGAGCCCAACUGUGAAGUUGUUUGAAACAAUUUGCUCAAGUGAAGGCGAGUAGCAGAUAUAUGCUUUCCCCGAUAUUCACUCUCUCUCUUGUAACGAGUUUUCUUAUUUGUUGGAGCUUCAUCUAGAGACCUCUAUGGCAUUAAUUGAAUAACUGAUUUUUUGUGGUCUUGCAUUUGCCUUUUGUCCACACAAAAUUAGCCCCCAAAUGAUAUUUUCUUUACAAAGUAUUGUGUUGACCGAACUUGAAGCAGAUGCACCAUCAAACAGCUUAAUGAAGGGGCUUAAUGCUGGGAUGGGACUCUUACACACUCACACACACACACACACACACACAGCAAAAUGCUAAUUUGCAGUCUGUGCCAAUUAAGACGUAAUUAGUGAGAUAUGUCAUGUCUGCAGAUUUUGCGAUGUUGGGCUCUGUUCUUGCUGUAUUGUAGCCCAGCUCAUAUCUGGAUCAUGGUAUAGAAGGGAUAAUAUUAAUUUUAGUGACAGUUUUGUGUCUAUUUUGCCCUUUUGUGGUUCUUUUAACAUUGAACAGAAUAGAAUAGAUUACAGACUAUUAGCCAAGCUGACAUAAUGCAGUAUAACUCAGCAAUGGUUGUCAUGGCAGAGAGACCAGAUAAGGCUUUUAGCGCAUUAUCCUUAAUACAUAAUGUAUGACUUUAUAAUGGAGGGAACACAGAGGUCAUGUAUGCAAUGAAAGUGACCGUAUACAUCAACAUUUAUCAUGUUUAAUACUGUUUAGAAGUUAAGAUACGUAUUCCACUGAAACAAAUGGUCUAAUCUGUACAUUAUGGCAAAAUUCUGGCCAUUUAUUCAGGUUUGGAGACCCCAAAGCUCACUGAUAUCUCCUUUUUGUCCUUUAAUGUAUAAAUGUAGAGGGGAUAAUUCACUAAAACUGUGUUGUUUAUAUGCAUGUUUUAACAACUGUUCAGGUAUAAAAGUAUAAAAUUAUGCAAAUUUUAAUUCAAAUUCAAAUAUGCCCCAAAAAAUGGCAGUUAACACAAUUCGCAUAACACUAUUGUUCAUUUUGAAAAGAGAGUCAAAUUGUCAUUGGCAAAUGGCAAAAGCGGCACAAAUGUUUAGUGAAUUUAUCGUGCUUUCAAGUCCUCCUCUGAAGUUUGUAUUUACGAGUUGAGAAGUCGACGUCAGGUGCGUUCAAGUCACUUUCGUUGGAGCAAGAUGGCGGGGGUGGGGGUGGGGGUGGGGGAGGGGUUAUGGGGGUGUCGUUUUAACCUGCGGACUAAAAUCAACCCGUGGCAACAGUGUAAAAGUAGCCCGAUUCCACAGGAAAACCGCAGACUUGGCAACACUAUUAUAUUUUGUGCAGGCAAUUAUUUCGUAAGCCUGACAAUCUCACUGCUAAAUACCUUUAAGUAUUGUGGUAUUCCCCCAUGUUUCUCACUGACACGCCCCAACUCAUAUCGGGGCUCAGAGUUUCCCCACUCGUAUUUACCACUUUGUGGUGGCAUUCAUGUGCAUUCAACUCGUAAAUACGAUCUUUCUGGCAUGACUUGAUAGCUCCAUUACCCCAGACACUCAUCUCUGACAGAGGCCUUGUCAUUCUAUCCUGCUUCCUGUUCUGUGUUGCACAACCAUGUUGUUUUACUCAAUCCAUUCGCUCUUAAAAAUGUUGGGUUGUUUCAUGCUUUUUUUUUUUUUUUUGAUUGUUUGUUUGUUUUUGUCAUAAUGCACUGCUGCCUGUCUUUGUCUUUCCUUGGUUUGAAAUUACAUGUUUUCUGUCAUAGUUUGACUGUAGCCAGGCAGUCAGCAGACCCAACGGCGACAAACAGAGAAAAGGACAAGUCCACCACAGAUGACCAGCGAUCUUGGGACAGCUUUAAGACCAUGACCCCUGAGCAGACGUGUGGCUCCAGCGAACAUAAGGACAGACUGG